rnacentral:lncRNA from 1 species
CUCCCAAGUCCAAGCCAUUCUUGUUCCUUCUCUGCUCGUUCUCAUGGCCGAGCUCCCCACGUCCGCCGCUCCUCCCUGGCGCCCUCACCUCCAUUGGAGCUCGCCCCUGUUGAGCUCACCUGUGCUCGUCGGCUGCCCUGCAGUUCCCCCAUGGACGCCUCCUUUCUAAUCUGUGUGCAGGGGUUUCCUUCCCAUGGUCGCCCUCAACCCCAUGGUCGACCUCGCCUAGCCCUUCCCCCAUCUCUUCCCCAAGCUCGGUUCGGCAUGGAGGCUGGCCACAGGACGCAGCACACCAACCUCACCGGCCAUACCCUCUGCUUUUCCCCACUGUCCGCAGCCCCGAUGUCGUCGUCGUGAUUAGACAUGGUACGUUCAUUGAUCACGUAUUGUGGAGGACAACAACAACUGGAAUAAUCUCAAAGUGGGAUUGAUGAAUGAACCCAAAGCUGAAUGAUCUGAUCGUACUGGAAUGGGAGGUGCUCGCCAAGCGAGUAUCAUCUAACAACACUGACUUAGUGUUUAUCCCAGGUUAUAAUUUUGUUCUGUUGUGGAUGCUGCUAAGUGCCGGUGGGCUCGGCCUUCUUAUAUAAGUAUAUCCCAUCUUUAGCUUCUUUAUUGAGGAUUGUCACUUAAGCUAGCAUGUAUUUUAAAACUUAUAAAUGUUUUAUACAUUCAAAUUGUAAUCUUUUGAAUCAAUUUCUUUUGUAACCAACUCCGAUGAUAUAUAUUGUAAUCUUGCUAUAACUUGUAAAUGUUGUAACUUGUAACCAUUUUGUAAUAAAUAAUUUAUUUCCGCUG